rnacentral:ncRNA from 2 species
UUCUUAUCUAGAGCGGUGGAGGGACUGGCCCUAAUACCUCAGUAACAGACUUUUUAAGUACUGUGCUAAUUCCAGAAGCGUAAGGCUUGAAGAUAAGAA